rnacentral:lncRNA from 1 species
CCUCUUUCUUUUGAAGAUUCACUUACACCCUAUGAAUUUUAUCCCUUCAGGUAGAUCAACUAAUAUCCACAUAUUGUUGAUCUUCAUGGACUUCAUUUUAGAUUUCAUGACUUUCAGCCACUUAUCAGAGUCAGAUCUCUACAUCGUAUCCAUAUAGGUGAUCAAAUCCUCAUUAUUCUCAUCGAGUUCAAUUGGAUCACUGUCUCGGACCAAGAAACCAUAGUAUCUAUCCAAU